rfam:Corchorus capsularis cultivar CVL-1 contig12815, whole genome shotgun sequence.
AUGCCAUGUUGAGGGCAUUCGGCGCAAAUUUUCUUGAAUCUCUCCCAAGCUAGGCAAAAAUUCUCAUCUUUGCGUUGUUGAAAGCUUGUAAUCUUUUGUCUCCCUUU